rnacentral:rRNA from 1 species
GACGAACGCUGGCGGCGUGCCUAAUACAUGCAAGUUGAGCGCUGAAGGUUGGUACUUGUACCAACUGGAUGAGCAGCGCACGGGUGAGUAACGCGUGGGGAAUCUGCCUUUGAGCGGGGGACAACAUUUGGAAACGAAUGCUAAUACCGCAUAAAAACUUUAAACACAAGUUUUAAGUUUGAAAGAUGCAAUUGCAUCACUCAAAGAUGAUCCCGCGUUGUAUUAGCUAGUUGGUGAGGUAAAGGCUCACCAAGGCGAUGAUACAUAGCCGACCUGAGAGGGUGAUCGGCAACAGUGGGACUGAGACACGGCCCAAACUCCUACGGGAGGCAGCAGUAGGGAAUCUUCGGCAAGAGACGAAAGUCUGACCGAGCAACGCCGCGUGAGGGAAGAAGGUUUUCGGAUCGUAAAACUCGGUUGGUAGAGAAGAACGUUGGUGAGAGUGGAAAGCUCAUCAAGUGACGGUAACUACCCAGAAAGGGACGGCUAACUACGUG